UGGGGAAUAUUGCACAAUGGGCGCAAGCCUGAUGCAGCGACGCCGCGUGAGGGAUGACGGCCUUCGGGUUGUAAACCUCUUUCAGUACCGACGAAGCGCAAGUGACGGUAGGUACAGAAGAAGCACCGGCCAACUACGUGCCAGCAGCCGCGGUAAUACGUAGGGUGCGAGCGUUGUCCGGAAUUACUGGGCGUAAAGAGCUCGUAGGCGGUUUGUCGCGUCGUCUGUGAAAACCCGCAGCUCAACUGCG
rnacentral:rRNA from 1 species